CGCAUCUGUGCAUGCAGCAUAUCAAUAAGCGGAGGAAAAGAAACUAACAAGGAUUCCCUUAGUAACGGCGAGUGAAGCGGGAAGAGCUCAAAUUUGAAAUCUUCAAGGUUUUACCUUGACGAAUCGUAGUUUAAAGAAGUGUUUUCUGUUGAAGUUUUGGUAAAAGUUCUUUGGAAUAGGACAUCAUAGAGGGUGAGAAUCCCGUAUUUGACCAUUAUUUUCAGCUGUGUGAUACACUUUCAAAGAGUCGGAUUGUUUGGGAAUGCAGUCCAAAAUGGAUGGUAAACUUCAUCUAAAGCUAAAUAUUGGCGAGAGACCGAUAGCGAACAAGUACCGUGAGGGAAAGAUGAAAAGAACUUUGGAAAGAGAGUUAAACAGUACGUGAAAUUGUCAAAAGGGAAGCGUUUGACACCAGUGUUGUUUUCUCGAAAAUCAAUUAAAAAGAGUUUAGAUUUUGUUGUGUAUUGACCUUAACAGCUUGCAUUUCAAUUUUCUUGCUUUUUUUAAUGCACUUUUCGUUUAACAAGUCAACAUCAGUUUCUUUUGUUGUAAAAAGGUCAUUGGAAGGUGGCUUUCUUUUCGGAGAAAGUGUUUAUAGCCUUUGACUCCUGCAAUCGGAGAGACUGAGGUCUGCAGCGUAGAUCCUUCGGGGUUAGAUACAUUUGUGCUAAGUUAUAGCUUUUUAUAGACAACUUGUUGACUAUGAUUAGUCUUGUAGCUUACUCGCUUAUGCUAUUUUACCUACGCUUAGGAUGUUGAACUCUAUCACACACAG
rnacentral:rRNA from 1 species